AAAUAUAUAUAUAUGAAAUUUUGCGGCAAAUUUUUACAAUGUAACUAAAAUUGUAAUCAUGGAAAAUUCCAACAGCAACAAAUUUAAUUGCACACUUUCUCCCGGGAAAGCAAUGGAUUACAAUUAAAUGCCUUUUGUAUUUAAUUUACAUAAUCUCAUUACACGUAAUUAGUUACUCCCCAACACUGCUGCUUCUAAUGUAUACAUACACUCACCAGCCACAAAAUGAUGUGCAUUAUCUCAUAAGAUCCAAACAACCGCUGUAUGAACUUUAUUGUAUUUACAAAGAUAAUAGCUUAAAACCAGAGCGAUACUGUAUUUAACAGUAUGUUUCUCAUUGUUGUGAAGAACUGCACUUCAUAUUUGUUUCUAAUAUUCGGAUACAUUUUUUGUCUACCUGGAGACAGAACAGGUAGAUGUGUAAUUGACAGCAAAAAAAAAAAACAGAAACAAAAAAAAUAUCACUUUGUACCUGUACUUAAAGGUCUAUAUUUUGACUAUUUAGACAUCCAUAGAGUGAAUCUCUAACAUGGAUUUAGUAGAAAAGCGUCAAUUUCAUUUAAAAAAACACCUCGAGUGUCCAGAAACCGGAGGAGCUGGAGAAAACCCACGCAGACAAGGGGAGAACAUGCAAACUCGCACAGGCGAGGCAGGAUUUGAAUCCGCGUCCUCAAAUGUACUAACCUGUCAUCCACCGUGCCACCCCUUGUGUUGACCCUUUGUGUGAAAUUAUUAAUAUUAUUAUUAUUACAAUUUCAAUAUUGUUUGUGACCUAAGAGACUUACUCUGAACACAUUUUCAUAACAGGGCCUGCUUAAUAACAGAAAUCUGCAUGGCUUUGUGUUUCUGUUGUCGCCUCUCAUACAGUAAAUAUGUGACGCAAAUUCCAAGAACUGUUUUUCUUCUUCACACUUUUCUUUCUUUUUGCUGCAGCAACAAUAACAACAGCCUCAGCAACUCAGAGGCACGUGUAAAAAAAGUGAGAUGUGCAAAAGAAAAUACACACACACACACACACACACAUGCACGCGCACACACGCACGCACGCACGCACACCGAGACAUGAUUGUAAGCGCAGCAUUGAGGUGGUGAAGACUCAGAGCUUCACGGUUGAAUUGAACCUUAAAUGAGAUUCAGUGUGAAUCUUACAUGCUGACCUCAGUGCUCGUUUCUGGGGAAACACACAUACACACACCCUAUUCUUUGAAAUCCUCCUCCAUAUUUGUGUUUUCACACUUAAUGGGAAAGACAAAACCACAUUUCUAAAAUCAGACCAAAGACUGGAAUGGGUUGACCUUGUUCAAAAUGCCUCUCAGGGACGGGAAAUUGAGAAAUCUCAACUAGCAACCAGUGGCUAGAAGUGUUUUAUUGCUCAAGUGCACUCAUCUCACUCUUUAGAUCAUGUCAACUGAUAAUUAGAGGAUCUGUAAUUUGUCUCUAUUUACUGACUUUAUACAGUCAUGACUCAGUAAAGCAUACUAGAUGUUUGCAAGUUGUGGUCCUUUGCAGGAACCUACAAGCUUCAAAUGACAUGGACAGAAAACAAACUAUUCUCCUUUGAAAUCAUGAAAGAUGAGCAGUUGCCUAUGUGGCCAAAUCAUCUUGAUUUGCAUUAGCAGCAAAAUUAUAAACUACAAAUAUGAACAAAUUAGAAAGGAGUUAAAAAAUAACACGGAAGGGAAAUACAAUAAUAAUAAUAAUAAUAAUUUAAACUAAUAUUAGAAUUUGUCAAGUAAUUUUUUUUCAUCCUGUCAAGGCCAGUUAUCAAAUUGUACACCAUCAUAGAUGCCCAGCUCCUGAAUGAACUGGUCGCCAGCCAAUCGCAGGGCACAUAUAAAAAAAAAAAAACAUUCGCACUCACAUUCACAUCUAUUGGCACUUUAGAGUCUUCAAUCAACCUACCAUGCAUAUUUUGGGAUGUGGGAGGAAACUGGAGAACCUGUAGAAAACCAACGCAGGCACGGGGAGAACAUGCAAACUUCACACAGGCGAGGAUGGAUUUGAACCUGGGUCCUUAGACCUUUAAGGCAGAUGUCCUAACCAGUCGUCCACCGUGCCAACAAUAGAUAAAUUUCCCUAUAGAAAAACACCCUGUGUUACAAAAGGUUUUUUUAAAACAAAAUCACUCUUAAAAAAAAGAAAUUCACUCUAACAAUGUUUUUUUUAAAAUCCUGCAAAGCAUAAAAGUAAAAUUAAAAAAAGUGUAAAUCCAUUCAUAAAAAUAUUUCUUCACAAAACUAGAUUAACUUGAUUGUUCUGAAAGAAUUUAUCGACAUGAACCGGUUUAUAUAAAAAUACCUGUACUGAACAAAGUCAUCUUUUUUCUUUUUUUAAAUUUUUGGCGAGAGUAUAAUUGCUAACACUCUUUUGAGAACACUCCUAAAUCAUUACUACAUUUGAACAUGAAGCCAUUGUGCUAAUGAUAUUGUGUGGUGUUUGUACCCGCUAAUCCACAGGCCAAUGAAUGACUGGCCAAGAGUAAAAAUGUCCGAGUCAGCAGGAGGGCAUCUCUGUCCAGGCAUAGAGCAGAACCAGACCAGUAAGCCUGCAGUGACUUCACAUUUGAUUGUUUCUGCUAACAACAAACCUGCUGCCUCGACUGUGAAAACAAAUCAUAAUAAAAAAUCAGCUGCAGAAAGAGGUAAGUGUGGACCAAGCUGAACGUUUCUGUUUAAAAUCAAGUUCAAUUGCGCAGUGAUGACAACCAGAAAGGAAGCCAGAAUGGCAGAGGACUGUCUGGGAGAACAUUCAAAGACACAGUGGGAGCAACAGGAAGAACUUCUCCUAACAGCCUGGAAAAGCAUGUCUUCUGCUCUACAACAGCAGACUUUGUGUGAGGACCCCAGACCUCCAGACUCGGCCCAGUCCUUCCUGUCCAGACAGAGGCAAUCAUCCCGCCGCAAGAGAGUAUUGCAUCCGAGGUAGAGGCGUUCAUCUUCCUCUUGAUACGCAUGGAAGUGAGACAUCCCUUUUGGUUCGAUGCAACACACUUCUUCUUCUGUCUUCUUUUGGCCUACUCAUGAACACUAAGGAAAUCAAGCAUGGUCUGUAUUUUUAUGGACAUGUAUUUAUUUCUUUUCCACUGUGGUGUUAUUGCCCUCUGCUGGCAAAUGAUGUAAUUUAUCAUACUUCCUGUCGGCUGUGUUGUUAUGAAAAGAAAUGCACCACAUGCUAUAAAUAAAUUGUUCUAAAAUGUAUCGUGGGAAACGAUGCAAAAUGAC